rnacentral:rRNA from 1 species
AAGGCGAAGUUUCGAAGGGGCUGCCAAGAAAAGUUGCUAUCGAGGAUAGAGGUGCCCGUACCAGAAACCGACACAGGUAGGCGAGGAGAGAAUCCAAAGACGAGCGGGAGAACCCUCAUUAAGGAACUCGGCAAAAAGACUCCGUAACUUCGGGAGAAGGAGUGCCGAAAGGCCGCAGAGAAGAGGCCCAAGCGACUGUUUACCAAAAACACAGGUUUCUGCUAAGUCGAAAGACGAAGUAUAGGAGCUGACGCCUGCCCGGUGCUGGAAGGUUAAGGGGAAGGGUCAGGAGGAAAUCCAAAGCUCUGAACUUAAGCCCCAGUAAACGGCGGCCGUAACUAUAACGGUCCUAAGGUAGCGAAAUUCCUUGUCGGGUAAGUUCCGACCUGCACGAAAGGCGUAACGACUUGGGCGCUGUCUUGAUGGGGGACCCGGUGAAAUUGUAGUACUCGUGAAGAUGCGAGUUACCCGCGACAGGACAGAAAGACCCCAUGGAGCUUUACUGCAGCUUGUCACUGAAUUUUAGUAAUAUCUGUACAGGAUAGGUGGGAGGCUAAGAAAGAUGGGCGCAAGCCUAUCUGGAGCCGACGUUGGGAUACCACCCUGAUAUUACCGAAAUUCUAACAUAGGAGCCGUAAGCCGGCAUAUGGACACUGACAGGCGGGCAGUUUGACUGGGGCGGUCGCCUCCCAAAGAGUAACGGAGGCGUCCAAAGGUUACCUCAGCGCGGAAGGAAAUCGCGCGUAAGAGUGCAAAGGCAGAAGGUAGCCUAACUGCGAGAAAGACAAUUCGAGCAGGGACGAAAGUCGGGCUUAGUGAUCCGGCGGUAGAGAAUGGGAUUGCCGUCGCUCAACGGAUAAAAGCUACCCUGGGGAUAACAGGCUGAUCUCCCCCAAGAGUCCACAUCGACGGGGAGGUUUGGCACCUCGAUGUCGGCUCAUCGCAUCCUGGGGCUGAAGUAGGUCCCAAGGGUUGGGCUGUUCGCCCAUUAAAGCGGUACGCGAGCUGGGUUCAGAACGUCGUGAGACAGUUCGGUCCCUAUCCGUCGCGGGCGUAGGAAAUUUGAGAGGA